rnacentral:rRNA from 1 species
GAUGAACGCUGGCGGCGUGCCUAAUACAUGCAAGUCGAGCGAACGGACGAUAAGCUUGCUUCUCUGAUGUUAGCGGCGGACGGGUGAGUAACACGUGGAUAACCUACCUAUAAGACUGGGAUAACUUCGGGAAACCGGAGCUAAUACCUGAUAAUAUUUUGAACCGCAUGGUUCAAAAGUGAAAGACGGUCUUGCUGUCACUUAUAGAUGGAUCCGCGCUGCAUUAGCUAGUUGGUAAGGUAACGGCUUACCAAGGCAACGAUACAUAGCCGACCUGAGAGGGGGAUCGGCCACACUGGAACGGAGACGAGGUCCAGACCACUCCGGGAGGCAGCAGUAGGGAAUCUACCGCAAUGCGAGAAAGCCUGAAGGAGCAACGCCGCGUGAGUGAUGAAGGUCUUCGGAUCGUAAAACUAUGUUAUUAGGGAAGAACAUAUGUGUAAGUAACUGUGCACAUCUUGACGGUACCUAAUCAGAAAGCAACGGCUAACUCCGUG